GCUGGCGUAGCUCAAUUGGUAGAGCAGCUCACUUGUAAUGAGCAGGUUAGGGGUUCAAGUCCCUUCGCCAGCU
rnacentral:tRNA from 1 species